AGUGAACGCUGGCGGUAGGCCUAACACAUGCAAGUCGAACGGCAGCACAGUAAGAGCUUGCUCUUACGGGUGGCGAGUGGCGGACGGGUGAGGAAUACAUCGGAAUCUACUUUUUCGUGGGGGAUAACGUCGGGAAACUUACGCUAAUACCGCAUACGACCUACGGGUGAAAGCAGGGGAUCUUCGGACCUUGCGCGAUUGAAUAAGCCCAUGUCGGAUUAGCGAGUUGGCGGGGUAAAGGCCCACCAAGGCGACGAUCCGUAGCUGGUCUGAGAGGAUGAUCAGCCACACUGGAAGUGAGAGACGGUCCAGACUCCGACGGGAGGCAGCAGUGGGGAAUAUUGGAAAAUGGGCGCAAGCCUGAUCCAGCAAUACCGCAUGGGUGAAGAAGGCCUUCGGGUGUUAAAGCCCUUUUGUUGGGAAAGAAAAGCAGCAGGUUAAUACCACGCUGUUCUGACGGUACCUAAAGAAUAAGCACCGGCUAACUUCGUG
rnacentral:rRNA from 1 species